AAAACUUGAUAAGCUCUACGAUGCAAUGUAAAGAACAUAUAAUUGUUCUGUUUAUGCUUCAAUAAACGUCUUUUACAACAAGACCACAGCUUUAGUGAAAAUUGAAGAGAUAUUUCGCAGCCAAGCAAAAUCAGAAGUUGAACAUUGUCACUGCCUUUUAAUACAAAGAAUAUUCAAACUGCUACGAUAUCAAUACGGUAUAGUGUAAACGGGGCGUGAAGCGUUAAAUAGCUCGGAGGGCAAUGUGCAAAUCAUUUGCACCAAGAGUACAAGAUUCGUUUUGAAAGAAACGACGACAUUGCAGUUCGCAUACAAGACUUUUCUAAACUGCGAUCGCCAUGAAGUGAAAUUAAAAUAUCAAAUUCAAAGAUUCCUGUUAACGUUACGUUAGACAUGUCAAUUUGUAUUUGUAUUUAUAAGCAGGCUAGUCUGUUAAUGUAGAAUAUUUAAUUACUUCUUAUCAUGACAAUUGAUAAACAAUAACAUAAGUAAAAAGUAAAGUAAAACUUCUUUAGGUGCAGUAUCGUGCAUGUGUCAAUAUUAGUCGAGUAUAGACUAAAUAUUCAUACAUGAUUUGACUUGCUCAUGCUUAAAAUGAACGAAAAAAUAGUUCCACUCUCAUCCCAAUUACAUAUCCUUGCAAAAAAUUGCGUCACCAAGAGCGUUGAUUUCAAAAACUCGUGGGUGUGUCAACCUUCAAACCAAAACCAUUGAUUUAGAAGAAGGAGUAAACUAUCUGCUGAAAGAACUUGCAUUUUUGUCUGUUGUUACCAUUAUUUAUGAUUGUAGUGAAUCUGUUGUUGUGGUCUACCCCAAACGUUUGCCUGUUCUUGAGAAAUAUUGUGAUGGCGGAUAUGAUAACAUUUCUAAGCCAUUCUUGAGAUUUCAUGUUAUGAAAUAGAAUCCCACAACUUUUAAAUAUAUCGCUGUGUUAACUGGUACAAAUUACGCUGUUGCGCAGUCAAAUAAUUUAACUCUAUUGGUUAUAGUUUUAAUUCGACCAUUUAAUACGUUUAUUAUAAUAGUUGCUAAUGGCAAUGCCGAGAUCAUGGAAUGCAAGCGACUACAGUGCAUAAUCAUAACCUUUCUUGCUUAAGACAUCAAGUCAUAGAAAAGAACAUGUUUAGAAUCAAAUAAUACCCCUUUUACAUUGUACUCUGCAUACACUUUAUAAUAAAUUUAGCAAGGUUCUCAUUUUCACUGACUGUCUAUGCUUUUGUGAUCUUUUGCAAUCCCUGAUUAAUGAUUUAUGAAUCAAAAGUAUAACAAUUAACGAUUUCAAUGAAUUUCUUACAUUCACUAAUACAGUGUGUCAACAAUUGUAUACAUCUAUAUCUUUGAAUAAAGGUAAUGCAUUUUUAAA